AGCGAACGCUGGCGGCAGGCCUAACACAUGCAAGUCGAACGAAGUCUUCGGACUUAGUGGCGGACGGGUGAGUAACACGUGGGAACGUGCCUUUAGGUUCGGAAUAACUCAGGGCAACUUGUGCUAAUACCGAAUGUGCCCUUCGGGGGAAAGAUUUAUCGCCUUUAGAGCGGCCCGCGUCUGAUUAGCUAGUUGGUGAGGUAAAGGCUCACCAAGGCUACGAUCAGUAGCUGGUCUGAGAUGAUGACCAGCCACAAUGGGACUGAGACACGGCCCAAACUCCUACGGGAGGCAGCAGUGGGGAAUCUUGCGCAAUGGGCGAAAGCCUGGCGCAGCCAUGCCGCGUGGAUGAUGAAGGUCUUAGGAUUGUAAAAUCCUUUCACCGGUGAAGAUAAUGACUGUAGCCGGAGAAGAAGCCCCGGCUAACUUCGUGCCAGCCGCCGCAGUAACAC
rnacentral:rRNA from 1 species